UCAAUAAGCGGAGGAAAAGAAACCAACAGGGAUUGCCCUAGUAACGGCGAGUGAAGCGGCAACAGCUCAAAUUUGAAAUCUGGCUCUUUCAGAGUCCGAGUUGUAAUUUGCAGAGGGCGCUUUGGAGUUGGCAGCGGUCCAAGUUCCUUGGAACAGGACGUCACAGAGGGUGAGAAUCCCGUACGUGGUCGCUAGCCUUCGCCGUGUAAAGCCCCUUCGACGAGUCGAGUUGUUUGGGAAUGCAGCUCUAAAUGGGAGGUAAAUUUCUUCUAAAGCUAAAUACUGGCCAGAGACCGAUAGCGCACAAGUAGAGUGAUCGAAAGAUGAAAAGCACUUUGGAAAGAGAGUCAAAUAGCACGUGAAAUUGUUGAAAGGGAAGCGCUUGCAGCCAGACUUGCCUGUAGUUGCUUAUCCGGACUCUUGUCCGGUGCACUCUUCUAUAGGCAGGCCAGCAUCAGUUUGGGCGGUUGGAUAAAGGUCUCUGUCACGUACCUCUCUUCGGGGAGGCCUUAUAGGGGAGACGACAUGCAACCAGCCUGGACUGAGGUCCGCGCAUCUGCUAGGAUGCUGGCGUAAUGGCUGUAAGCGGCCCGUCUUGAAACACGGACCAAGGAGUCUAACAUCUAUGCGAGUGUUUGGGUGUCAAGCCCAGACGCGUAAUGAAAGUGAACGGAGGUGGGAACCCUUUGGGUGCACCAUCGACCGAUCCUGAUGUCUUCGGAUGGAUUUGAGUAAGAGCAUGGCUGUUGGGACCCGAAAGAUGGUGAACUAUGCUUGAAUAGGGUGAAGCCAGAGGAAACUCUGGUGGAGGCUCGCAGCGGUUCUGACGUGCAAAUCGAUCGUCAAAUUUGGGCAUAGGGGCGAAAGA
rnacentral:sRNA from 1 species